AUAUUGAUUUUUUAAUACUAUAUUUCGUUGGCAAUGGUGUGAUUAUGGUGAAUAUAGUGUUAUGGGACUGCAAGUUUCUGCUUUAAGUUUUAAUUUGCCCCAGGGGCGGUUCUAGACCCUUUUAAGUGGGGCUCCAGCCACCCUGCCGUCAUCUUAGCCCCCCUAAAAUUAGUCUUAAUAUUUCUACCAAACUAUCAAAUAUAUUUUUCUGAAGUUUUAUUUAUUUGUAAAAACAAUUAAUUCGAAGAUAAUUAUUAAAAAAACGCAAAAUGCAAGACAUUUAGAAAAAAAUUACGAGUUUAUGAGGCAUUUGAUUAGCUUUGCUGUUCUGCGCAUGCGUCGUAACCGUCAGUGGAGGAGAGCUCGAGCGCCUGUGCUUCAGGUCACACAGAGGGAGCAGUUGUUUCAUAAAAUAUCCAGCGUGGAAGCUCAGAAGGUGCAUUUAUAGUCCAUCAUGACAUAAAAAAUCCUCUGCAUGCAACCACGAGGAGAGGGGGAAUUUACUAAGGAGUUUUGUCUAUAUAUUAUAUAAAAUCUACUGUUGGGAAGAGCAGAACCUAAUCCAAAUAAAAAUAAACAAGCUGUUAAAAGCCAGUUGAAGGUGGUCAACACAAACCAAAUGAAGAUGUUGCACAUUCCACAAACAAUAAAAAAGAAGAUCAAGUUUUGUGUCCAACACACUUGGAUGAGACGUGCCCGACCCCUGACUUUGUCUACCCUACAUUAAGUUGUGAUGGCACACUUCAUGACAGUAAACAUCGGUAUCAAGAUGAUGUGAUUGAUCUAUACCCUAGAAUAAGCUGUGACACUAUGAGACGGUGACAUAAUGAACAGCCAUCUUCCAGACAACCGAAACAGUAUUGUCUACAAUACCAAAUUCUGGAUUGACGCCCCAGUACCAGAAGGCACUCCAAUCCCAGAGAGCAUCCCAUUGUGAGGUAACACAACGAAAAAAUAACAGGAUGGAGACUACCUGAUUCUUCACCUAUGGCCUUAGCUUCAAAUGCAAGAAGUCCAGCAACUUUCUGAGCUGGUGGAUAUUCUAUCAGAGACUGCAUGAACAACGUUAUGAACAGAAUGAUGUCUAAUUGUCUUAUGGCAAAGUUCAAUAUGAGGGGUGGUGGACAUCUGGAAAAUAAGUCUUUUAAAGGCACACCUUUGUAUUAUGUUAUUCAAGAUGCUGUGAGGAGGUGGAGCCCAAAAGCCACGGACUCGGAAAUCGAUGCAGCUAUGGCAGACCACCUCAAGCACGCUCCAGGAAGAGAGCUAGGGGUUGUGAAUACAAAAAAUAAGCCAAACAGAUGUAAUGUGUUAGAGAUAGUUCACACAAAAAUGAAAAUUGUUAUAAUUUUCUUACCCACGUGUUUCAAACCUGUAUACAUUUCUAUUUUUUGCUGAACACAAAGAUUGAAUAAUGUUUGUAACCAAGCAUUUCUCACAACCCAUUAACUGUCAUAAUCAUUUUUUUUACAAUUGUAGUAAUGGGUUGUGAGAUCU